GGGCUGUAAUGGCUUGAGUUUCCAUUGCAAAGGGUGGGCCAUGAAUCUCAAUCAGCGAAUAUUAUCAAUGUUUCUGUAUGGAUCAUGACUGCUUACAUGUGACAGGUGUUGCUCAAUGAUCCCACAGUGACAGCUCUGCAGUUCCCUUCAGCUCAAAGGAGCUAUUGGUGGACACAAAUCAACUAUAAAUGAAUGGCCACGUUGCUCCGUGUCUGCUGCAUGAUGUAAAAGGUGACUGUUUGCUAUGAGGUUUGCCAUAUCAGCUUCAGAGGUUUCUGCUGAAGUGACUAAUAAGCCAGUUUUAAGAGCAGAAGCACAAACAUAUUCACUAAGUGGUUUCAGUAUUAGCUAUGUUGAAUUCAUGCCACUGUAGUGCAGUAUGAUGGGGAAGCGGACAUAUGGGCUACGUGGACAUCUCUGUGUGGGAGAAGAGCAAUCACAGCUAAAGCUAAAUGCCUUGGUUAUGUCCCAUGAGCCAGGGAAGCGAUAUCUGCAUGCUGAGAGGCUCUGAUCACUCACCUGCACACUAUACACAGCACAGAAUUACUACUAUAACAGGAAUGUUUCACAGCAUCAAAAUAAAAUUCAAAGCCACAGAGACACAGAUGACAGAUGAUGAUGUGGAGGUCUCACAAGUCCCACUUACUCUUUAACAACCAGCUGUCUACUUUCGGUACUAAUUCCACCAGUCCUCAUUAGAUGCCGCACUGCAGAUGACCUUGCAGCCAAGUGGUCUCAUUUCCUUCAGAAUGUUGCCCCAGAAGUGGAGAUGACGGUUAAAUUGGCUAAAUAUUGAACUUAAAAAAUAUUUUAA